UUAUAUUUCUUUUUAAUUUUUCCUCUCUCCCCCUACCGCUGUCUCUCUCAGAAUUCUUUCUCCCACUCUUCUCUCCGGUUUCUACCUUGCUUCAGCGGGAUUCGGAUAGACCCGAUAAACGUAAAUAAAGGAUUGAUGGCACCUACAAGGAAAUCAAGAAGUGUGAAUAAACGAUUUUCAGGUUUAAAUGAGGCCUCUCCUGAUAAGGAUGGAGUCAACUCAAAUAAAAAUAAGCAUCGGAAGAAAAAGUUGUCUGACAAAUUGGGAUCUCAAUGGAGCAAGGAGGAACUAGAGCGUUUUUAUGAAGCAUACAGGAAGCAUGGAAAAGAUUGGAAA